CCGUCGUUUUCGCACCGUGGGAGUGAGGAGAAGGAGAAGGAAGCGGCGAAGGUCGAGAAGAGGGGGAGGCGACCGAAGGAAAGCAGAGGGACGAAAGACGAGGAGAGGAAGAAAAAGAAGGAUAAAAAGAAAAGGAAAAGGGGCAGCCGCCGCAUAGAGGAAGAAGCGAAGAGAAUUAAAAAGAGGAGAGGAAGGAGAAGAAAAGGAGAAGAAGGAGAAGAAAAAGAAGAAGAAGAAGAGGAAGAGCGGCGAUAACAAGGCGGCAGAGGGGGCAGCGCGGGGGGGGCGGGGGGGGCGGGGAGAGGGGGGGGGGGGGGGGGGCGGGGGGGGGGUGGUGUGAAGGGGGGGGGGGGGGGGGGGGGGGGGGGGGGGAGAGAAAGAGCGGCGAUAACAAGGCGGCAGAGGUGGCAGCGCGGCGGAGGCUGGGAGGCGGCCGAGAGGGGAGAAGAGGAGGAAGAGAGGAAAGAAAUUAGAGAGAUGGAGGAGAUUUUAGAGAGAGGUAGAGAU
rnacentral:lncRNA from 1 species